GAGAAGAACGUAGCGAAAUGCGAUAAGUAAUGCGAAUUGCAGAAUUUCCGUGAGUCAUCGAAUCUUUGAACGCACAUUGCGCCCACUGGUAUUCCGGUGGGCAUGCCUGUUCGAGCGUCAUUAUCCUCCCUCAAACCCCGGGUUUGGUGUUGGACCCAAGUUGUGUGAACAACUGGUCUCAAAGACAAUGACGGCGUCCGUGGGACCCUCGGUGCAACGAGCUUUUAGGAGCACGCGCCGAGUUGCAAGGACCUUCCGGGCCGGUCUCCUUUACUAUUUUACAAGGUUGACCUCGGAUCAGGUAGGAAUACCCGCUGAACUUAAGCAUAUCAAUAAGCGGAGGA
rnacentral:misc_RNA from 1 species